rnacentral:rRNA from 1 species
CCUACGGGAGUCCGCAGUGGGGAAGAGCGCACAAGGGGGGAAACCCUGAUGCAGCGACGAAGAGGGAGUGAAGAAGUAAUUCGUUAUGUAAAGCUCUAUCAGCAGGGAAGAAAAUGACGGUACCUGAGUCAGAAGCCCCGGCUAACUACGUGCCAGCAGCCGCGGUAAGCCGUAGGUGGCAAGCGUUAUCCGGAUUUACUGGGAGUACAGGGAGCGUAGACGGCAGUGCAAGUCUGGAGUGAAAGGCGGGGGCUAAACACCCGGACUGCUCUGGAAACUGUACGGCUGGAGUGCAGGAGAGGUAAGUGGAAUUCCUAGUGGAUCGGUGAAAUGCGUAGAUAUUAGGCGGAACACCAGUGGCGAAGGCGGCUUACUGGACUGUAACUGACGUUGAGGCUCGAAAGCGUGGGGAGCAAACAGGAUUAGAUACCCCAGUAGUC